UACGUAGGGGGCAAGCGUUGUCCGGAUUCAUUGGGCGUAAAGAGCGUGUAGGCGGCCAAGUAGGUCGGUUGUGAAAACUGGAGGCUCAACCUUCAGACGUCGACCGAAACCAUCUGGCUAGAGUCCGGGAGAGGAGAGUGGAAUUCCUGGUGUAGCGGUGAAAUGCGCAGAUAUCAGGAAGAACACCCGUGGCGAAAGCGGCUCUCUGGAACGGUACUGACGCUGAGACGCGAAAGCGUGGGGAGCGAACAGG
rnacentral:rRNA from 1 species